UACAGAGGGGGCAAGCGUUAUUCGGAAUUAUUGGGCGUAAAGGGCGCGUAGGCGGCCUGGCAAGUGGAAGGUGAAAUCCCUCGGCUUAACCGAGGAACUGCCCUCCAAACUGCUUGGCUUGAGUCCGGGAGAGGUGAGUGGAAUUCCCGAGUGUAGCGGUGAAAUGCGUAGAUAUUGGGAGGAACACCAGUGGCGAAGGCGGCUCACUGGACCGGAACUGACGCUGAG
rnacentral:rRNA from 1 species